rnacentral:tRNA from 64 species
GCCCCAUUGGCGGAAUUGGUAGACGCGCUCGACUCAAAAUCGAGUUCCGAAAGGAGUGCUGGUUCGACCCCGGCAUGGGGCACCA